GAUACAGAGGAAGUCUAGGGGUCAUGUUAGGCUUCUCUGGUUUCUCCACUUGGCCACACACAGAAUGUCCUCUGCUUCAUCCCUGACAGGGCAUCAGGCUCUGCUUGUGUGCCUCCCAUGGCAAGGAACUCAGUUUCUCUCCAGGUAGCCCAUUUCAUCACGGGACAACACUGCUGUCUACAAAUUAGGCAGAAUGUCUGCCAGUAAGGGAGUGGAGCGAGCAAAAGGCUGCUCACUCUUAGAAUCCAGCCACCAUACUGUGAGGAAGCCCAAUUUAGCCUAUGCAGAGGAACUAGUGAGAGGCCACGUGGAGGUGCUUCAGUUGACAGCCCCAGGGAGCACAGUGCUUGUCCAGACCCACCCAGCUGGGAGGGGACAGAGGAAGAAUUUGAGCCCAGAGUUGACCCAUCUCCAGCAAGGACAGAAAGACGAUGGGCAUCAUGCACAGCUCUCUGAAAGAACAGAGAUCCUGUUAACAGCAAGCCAUGUGUCUCUCAGGUCCCCCCAGCCACCUGCAGCCCAGCCAUGCUGCGUUAGAAACCACAGAUGCAACCCACGACCUCGUUCUACUGACUGAGAGCAGAGCCACGGAAAAGCUGAGGAAACAGAGACCUGGAGACAUAUAUGCAAUUACCCUCAAGCGAGAGGUGAACUGGAUUCAGUCGACGCAGAUGUCUGGGGUGGGACCCUGAGAUGCUGCGUUGCUCACAAGCUCCCAGGUGAUGGGAAUGGACCUGGUCCAUGGGCUGCACAUGAAGCAGCAGAGAUGCAUCGAUGUGUCCAUUGAAUAGACACAGACCAGGAAGUCGACCUGCUGCCACCCCAGAACUGUGUCAUUUAUUUAUUCUGCCCAUAUGUAUUGGGUGUUUCUCCUUGCCAGGCAUUGUAUUGAGAUACUGUAGAAGACUAAAAGAUGAGACAGGCGUGCUCCCUGACCUGAUGGACUUUAGACCUAAAGCAAAUGAACUAAACUCUUACAAGUGUAAUAAGAGGGGCUUUGCUUACAGCACACAGAAGUACAUUAUAUUGUGCGGAUGGAUGUGAUGUGCAGAACGCCACUGGGCAAGAGACACGAGUCAGUGCAGCAGCGGCAGGAUAUUUGCAGACGGGCUUGAGUACCGGACCCUCACCUCUCUUGAGAGACUCUGAGAGUGGUAUACCUUGGCCUGCCCAUACCACUCUCCAUCCCCACAUCCUCCAGCUCAGGGACAUGUUUGAUCAGGCCUGCAUGAUCAAAACCACCCCCAACCACAGUAUGGACACUGACACCUAGCCCUCCGUUUACUGUGAGAGUUACUCUUUGGAUUGUUUUGAAUCGCAAAGGAUGUCAUUGACCCCAAUGCUACCCCAUCUUCACUGGUGCUCAGAAUUUUCUGGGCAUAUGGCUGCCAGAGUUGGCAAAUAAAAACACAAGAUGGCCAGUUAAAUGAGAAUUUCAGAUAGACUAGGAAUAUACUAGUGGACAUAUAAGUAUAUCCCAUGCAAAAUUUGGGAGAUACUUAUACUAAAACA
rnacentral:lncRNA from 1 species